AAAGAAGAUUAUUACCUGUGCUGGUGGAUUGGAAAGGAUAGUAUUGAGGGCUCUUUUGUGCGUUUACUGCUCAAGUAAAUUUGUAUUUCGUAAUGAAUGGUGUCCUUAACACAUAAAACAGAAUGGAUGCCCCAUAGUGAAAGCACAACAUAUUCCAUCCAAAUUAGUGCCAUACAAUGCUGG